rnacentral:tRNA from 1 species
GGGCCGGUAGUCUAGCGGAAGGAUGCCCAGGGGGUCUGCCCCCGCGUAGGCCUCGCGCGCGGGAGAUCCCGGGUUCGAAUCCCGGCCGGUCCACCA